GGUUUCUCUGUGUAGCCCUGGUUGUCCUGGGACACACUCUGUAGACCAGGCUGGCCUCAAGCUCACAGAGAUCCACCUGCCUCUGCCUCCCGAGUGCUGGGAUUAAAGGCGUGCGCCACCAACACCCG
rnacentral:miRNA from 1 species